rnacentral:rRNA from 1 species
GAUGAACGCUGGCGGCGUGCCUAACACAUGCAAGUCGAGCGAUUUACUUCGGUAAAGAGCGGCGGACGGGUGAGUAACGCGUGGGUAACCUGCCCUGUACACACGGAUAACAUACUGAAAGGUAUGCUAAUACGGGAUAACAUAAGAGAGUCGCAUGGCUUUCUUAUCAAAGCUUUUGCGGUACAGGAUGGACCCGCGUCUGAUUAGCUAGUUGGUAAGGUAACGGCUUACCAAGGCGACGAUCAGUAGCCGACCUGAGAGGGUGAUCGGCCACAUUGGAACUGAGACACGGUCCAAACUCCUACGGGAGGCAGCAGUGGGGAAUAUCGCACAAUGGGCGAAAGCUUGAUGCAGCAACGCCGCGUGAGCGAUGAAGGCCUUCGGGUCGUAAAGCUCUGUCCUCAAGGAAGAUAAUGACGGUACUUGAGGAGGAAGCCCCGGCUAACUACGUGCCAGCCGCCGCGGUAA